CUGUUAGAAAGUGUUACCAUUCGUUUUUUUUUUUUAAAUAGCUGAUGUUUCAGAAGUGCACCAACUGCAACUGGAAAAGGAGGUCCCAGCAAAACAAUGACUCAAACAAAAUAUUAACGACUUGGGUUCAUACUGUAGAAUAUUUUGAGAUGGCUUGGAUAUUGGAUAUUGUUGUCAGGGGUGGUGCUUGUAGGUGUGGCUGAAAUAGACUACUUAUCUCUGUGCAUCUUAGUAUUUCAUCUAUGAGUGAGACUGCUUUAUUGAAAGAGUCACCAUGACCACUCCGCUACUGAUGUUUGUUCUUCUGGCUCUACCCUGCUACAGCGCACCUGGGCAAGUCAAUCCUUUAGGAGUUCCAGUCUCUGCCCAUGCUGGGAAGUUCUACGACACGUCUCCCAGAGAUCACGUCUGCGGUGGGCUGAAUUAUGACGUUCUAGAUUACACUUGCUGUGAAAGAGUACUGCAUAAAGAGGCGUGGCUGUCUUGCUGUGGAAACAGGGUCUUUAACCUCACCCAGGCUUCCUGUUGUGAAGGUCAGGUGACUCUUAAUGUGAGCCAGCUGGUGUCAGAUUGCUGUGGGUGUCAGGCCUAUGACCCACUCAACCAGCUGUGCUGUGACUCUCAGAUCCUAACCAGGACCCAACCCCAUUCCAAGUGUUGCGGAAAAGAGCUUUACGAUGAAGACCACCAGCUUUGCUGUGGAAAUGUCGUUAAAGGAAAGAAGGUCCUGACCAAAAUGUCCGUUCACCACCAGUGCUGUGGAGACCACCAGUUUGACCAGCGAAGCCACUGCUGCUGCUUUGAUUCUGAACCACUCUCUCCAGAGCCUCUCAAUGCAAGCUGCUGUGCAUCAUCAGGGUCUAAUCACUUGGGAAUUGCUCCGACUUCUCCGAAAUGUAUAUCAGGGAAACAGCCCUGUGGUCUAGGUGCCUGUUUCAACCCAACAACAGAACGUUGCUGUGUGAACCCUACAUCUCUCCAGGGACAAAGUUACUCCCACGACCAGACCUGCUGUGAGGGAACACUACGCCACACCCCAUAUCUCUACAAUGAUGCUAGCUGUGGCUCUCAGGUUUACAAUCCAGACAGUAAAAUCUGUUGUGCCGGGAAGCUGUCCAAUAGGGUGCUUGGAAAAAACCUGUGCUGUGGUACAACUCCGUAUGGUGUAGAGGACCGAGGGGUGUUGUGCUGUAACCAGACCUUGCACUGUGAGGUGGAGGAUGGGUACCAGUGCUCCCCAGGUGGCCACUUGUAUCUGCCAUCCCGUGACAUGGUGUGUGGCUCACGAGUUCAUCUGAACGAUCUACGCAAACACUGCUGUGGGGAGGAGACAUACUACCCUUGGAAUGAAAUCUGCUGCAACGGACACAAACACAGGGGGAACAAGUCCUGCUGCGGAGUCAAGGCUUAUGACCCCAGCUGUGACCAGAUGAAGUGCUGUGCAGGGACUCUGUACGACCUGCAGUUUCAGGACAGACUCUCAGAGGAAGCCCAGUGCUGUGGGAGUGUCCUGAUGGAGGCCGGCUCCACCCAGACCUGCUGCUCUGCCCCAGGGCUAGACCUGCUCUAUCCUACCCAGCCAGGGUUCACCUGCUGUGGGCACCGCUACCCCAACUCAUCCCUGUGGUCCUGCUGCGCCGGGGUCCUGCACCCAAGGCCUGAACCACACAACACCACCAAGAACGUGAUUCCAGGACCCAGGCUUCUACCACUGGGGGAUCUGAAGACUGAAGUCCUGUGUCAGAGCAAAGUUCUGGUAGGGACAGUGGAGAGUGUGUCUGUGAAGAUGAAUGAGCGGUCCAUCGUGAUGGUGAACACCAUGUACAUGCAGGCCUCGCGUGGCCAUGUCAGCGCCAUGGCUUCCCCUCACUACCUCACAUUACCCGACCACUGCAGCUCCCCUGAACUGGUGCUGGGCAACACUUACAUCUGGGUGAAAAAUAAUUACUCAGACACCAUAAGUUUCAUCUCUGAUCUCAGCGAUCAUUCCUNNNNNNNNNNGUUUUCUGAGUUAAUAUGGAUGAGAAGAAAGUAGACUUAGCCUAAUUGAUCUCGACUGCCCAGUCUUUAAGACACUUUUUUAACGCACUAUAAAUGACUGUUUAAGGUCAAAGCUCUUUGCAUAUGUUGUGUGUGGAUCAAUGUGACAUCUUUAGUUUACACAUUUGUCAGUUGAAACUCCUUAUGAGUGAUCAAUAGUGUAGAGUUCGUCAUCCUCACAAAUUGCCCUUAUGAAGAGGCAUCAGUAAUAUUUAAUCUUCCUAAAAGGUGUGUUUUGUGUGCGUCUCCAAUAAAUACUUUUAUUGGAAUGGAAUUAGGCGGUCGCUGUGCAGUGCAGUCUCCCUCUGCUGUUGUGCCUGAAUGAUACUGACCGCUUUGUGGAGACAAUCAUCAAUGAGAGGGUGAGUCACAGCCAUCCCCCCCCCCCCCCCCCNNNNNNNNNNNNNNNNNNNNNNNNNNNNNNNNNNNNNNNNNNNNNNNNNNNNNNNNNNUCCCCCCCCCCCCCCCUCCCCUUAAAUAUGACAUUUACAUAAGUACUCGGACCCUUUACUAAGUACUUUGUCGAAGCACCUUUAGCAGAGCGAUUACAGCCUCGAGACUUGUUGGGUAAUGACGCUACAAGCUUGGAACACCUGCAUUUGGGGAGUUUCUCCCAUUCUUCUCCGCAGGUCCUCUCGAGCUCUGUCAGGUUGGACGGACAGCUGUUAUCAGUCAACAUUCAUUCGCUUUUUCAUCUGAAAUCGGUAUGCUUUUGACAAGGCACACUUGUCAGAGAAGACAGAGGAGCAUCUGUCAACAUAGCAACCGUCACAAGAAUUGUUCAAAAGUUUAAUAAAGGACUAUUCUAAUAAAUGAAGAUACUCCAAACUCAGAUAUUGACUGAGAUAUAGCACAUAAAACAUUGUCCUGCCACGGACAAAUAAGAUCCUUGCUGAUCCUCUCUUUUAGUUGUGACUAUUGUACAAGGCUGGGUGGGAGGCCACAGCCAUGCUGGCGCCUGCAUGACAACAGAACUACUGUAUGAAAGACAACGUAGAGUUGGCUCAGUUCCAUUCCACAUUAAAAAAAAACAUCAAACAAAGCUGUCCAGUUACAGGGCCAACAAUUGUAUACACUGCAAACACAUUACAGUGUUAUAAUUUUAGUGUUCCUGAACAUUGUGCUGAAAAUAAUGGAAGGAUUGAAGAAAGCGAUAGGAUAUUUUAGUGGAGCCUCAGAAACCACAAUGAAAUGACUGCGUAUCAAAACAAUAGGUUGACACCGGUGCCAAACAAUUGCUUGAAACUGUGAGCGAGAAAUUGCAUCUUUCAUAUGCUUCCUUCCAGGCUCUUGUCGUGGGAAGAUGGUCCAAGUCCUUGGACACAUUCCCAGUUAACCACACUGUUCUAAAGUGGACCACACAACCUCUUCCUGUAUGAAGCUCUGACCGAAAGUGUCUCAAAGUAAGCCAAACGUGGCACUAUUGUAACACAGCAGAUCUAUGCUAUCUAAUGGCCUACACAAAGAAAAUGUCAUGUUAUGAGCACCACAUAUAUUUUGUUUCACACAAAUGGUUUAAAACAGAACAUGGACAGAAACGCAUAAGCUUACAUGUCAAAUGUAAUUUCAUCCUAUUUUAGAGACUAAUGAAAAUACUGUAUCCUAUCACUACUGUGUGUAGGGGGAAAGCAUAGGGCCACUAUCCCUUGAAUAAAUUCAGGGACAAGAGGCUAAUUUGAGCUGGCGAGGGUUAUAAACGGACAAUAAAGUGAUUAUUAAAGACAUAAAGAGAAGCUGUGUUAAUAAAGAAGUAAGUUCACUGACAGCAGGCUGGAGAGUUAGGUCGUAAACAUACACACCUCAGAUGCUGUCGAAGACUCAGUCUACUUACUCAACACUCUUAGAAAAAAGGGUUACAAAAGGGUUCUUCGCCUGUCCCCAUAGGAGAACCCUCAGUGGAAAGGGUUCUACAUGGAACCCAAAAACGGUUCUACCUGGAACCAAAAAGGGUUCUUCUAUGGGGACAGCCGAAUAACCCUUAUUGGUUCUAGAUAGCACCUUUGUUUUCUAAGCGUGUAUAGGAAAGCAGUCGACAUACACACCUCAGAUGCUGUCGAAGAAAGACUAAGUCUAAUUACUCUACUUGCAAGGUGUGUGUCAAAGCAUCUAUUAGGAAAACAGUAUAACAGAGACUCAAUUUGGAUGAAUGAUCUCCAAAUGAUCUGAUAAAAGGAGGAACUUCAGCAUAGCUUGGGAAUGACUAUCCAGAAGAAUGAGGUGGGGUUGACUUGCUGACGGAAAGAAACUUAACACAGCAUUUGCACUUCUUCUCGACACUUUUUCAGGGAUGAUUGGAAUGGUGUGGUUUCUGAGAUUAAGUUUCAAAAUCGUAUAAAAGUGACCUGACAUGUUUAAGCAAUAAGGUUCGAGGAAGUGUGGUAUAUGGCCAAUAUACCACAGCUAAGGGCUGUUCUUACACACAACUCAAAGCAGAGUGCCUGGACACAGCCCUUAGCCGUGGUAUAUUGGCCAUAUAUCACAAACCACCAAGGUGCCUUAUUGCUAUUAUAAACUGGUUACCAAUGUAAUUAGAGCAGUAAAAAGAAAUGUUUUGUUAUACCUGUGAUACACGGUUUGAUAUACCACGCCUGUCAGGUUUUGGGAUGAUGACCCCAUCCACUGCAGAGGGCAAAGCCCUCCUGUAACGCUCCGGGUGUCGUGGGUGUGGAGUCAGACGCAGGAAACAGAGAGUUCACUACUGUGCUAUU
rnacentral:lncRNA from 13 species